rnacentral:ncRNA from 12 species
GCCUUCGCGGUGCGUGGUGGACUGCCCGAGCCAAUACGGCGGCAUGGAGAGGAAGUCCGGUGUGAAUCCGGCGCGGUCCCGCCACUGUCACCGGGGAGCACGCGGCACGUGCGCCCCGGGAGCCAGGAACUCCCACCGCCGGACACGUCGAA